AUGCUACGGGAGCACAUAUACUAAAACUGGAACGAUAUAGAGAAGAUUAGCAUGGCCCCUGUGCAAGGAUGACACGCAAAAUCGUGAAGCGUUACCACACAUAU
rnacentral:snRNA from 1 species